rnacentral:tRNA from 1 species
GGUUGUGACUCAGUGGUAGAGCACUUGCCUAGCAUGCAUGAGGCACUGGGUUCAAUCCCCAGCACCA